ACUCGAGUGGCGAACGGGUGAGUAACACGUGAGUAACCUACCCUUGACUUUGGGAUAACUUCAGGAAGCUGGGGCUAAUACCGGAUAGGAGCUCCUGCUGCAUGGUGGGGGUUGGAAAGUUUCGGCGGUUGGGGAUGGACUCGCGGCUUAUCAGCUUGUUGGUGGGGUAGUGGCUCACCAAGGCUUUGACGGGUAGCCGGCCUGAGAGGGUGACCGGCCACAUUGGGACUGAGAUACGGCCCAG
rnacentral:rRNA from 1 species